CAGCAGCCGCGGGAAUACGAAGGGGGCUAGCGUUGCUCGGAAUGACUGGGCGUAAAGGGCGCGUAGGCGGAUGGUACAGUCAGACGUGAAAUUCCUGGGCUCAACCUGGGGACUGCGUUUGAGACGUGCGAUCUAGAGUUUGGAAGAGGGUCGUGGAAUUCCCAGUGUAGAGGUGAAAUUCGUAGAUAUUGGGAAGAACACCGGUGGCGAAGGCGGCGACCUGGUCCUUGACUGACGCUGAGGCGCGAAAGCGUGGGGAGCAAACAGGAUUAGAUACCCCUGUAGUCCCUGUCUCUUAUAC
rnacentral:rRNA from 1 species